UAUUGGUCAAUGGUCGGGAGACUGGACCAGCCAAGCCGCGUGAGGGAGGAAGGUACAGAGUAUCGUAAACCUCUUUUGUCAGGGAACAAAGGCGGGGACGUGUCCCCCGAUGAGUGUACCUGAAGAAAAAGCAUCGGCUAACCGCGUGCCAGCAGCCGCGGUAAUACGGAGGAUGCGAGCGUUAUCCGGAUUCAUUGGGUUUAAAGGGGGCGCAGGCGGAGCGUCAAGCCGGCGGUAAAAUCGUGGGGCCCAACCCCAUCCCGCCGUCGGAACUGGCGCCCUUGAGUGGCCGAGAGGUAGGCGGAAUGCGUGGUGUAGCGGUGAAAUGCAUAGAUAUCACGCAGAACGCCGAUUGCGAAGGCAGCCUACUGGCGGCCCACUGACGCUCAGGCACGAAAGCGUGGGGAUCAAACAGG
rnacentral:rRNA from 1 species